UAGGUGUGGUAGCCUAUGCUCUCCUUUC
rnacentral:sRNA from 1 species